UUUUGUAGUGAAACAUUAAUAAUAAUUCGAGAUGAUUUGGUAAUUUUAUAAUUGUAAGUAGCCAUCAAGCCUAUCUAGCAUUCCACUCAAGCAUUUUUGGGUAUAUAAAAUUACAAAUAUUAGUCUGAUGUGAGUUGCUGCACCAAAUCACUAGAUCACUAGCUUAUAUAUAUAUAUAGGACCACCUCAAUUAUAGUGUCUGAUUUGAGUUGCUGAUGAGAAUGAAUUUUUUUACCGCCCAACAAGAGAUAUUAUGGAGCUGUGUCUAAAGACAGAAGAUUUAUGCCUCACGAUUCUACGAAUAUGGGUGGUGUAGGUAUAUGGAACGCCUCUAUACUCAAUUGGGAAAUAUUGAUGUUUAUGGUUUCGUUGAUCCAUUUUUCAUUCACGCGGAAAAUGACCAAGAAAGUUCUCGGUCUCAUAUGACCGCAAAGAUGUUCGAGGUUAACAAAACUUGUUAUUUUGCACCUUACCUGAAAAAUCGCCAUUGGCAAUUGCUUAUUAUUGAACGAGAAAAAUAAAAUGUCGUUUUCUUAUGUUCGAUGGGUUGGAAGCCAGAUAAAUAUCUUGUGCAAAUUGUUAAUUCUGCUAAAGAAUGGUAUAACAAGUUGAGUGGUGUUAGAAAGACGAGAAAGCCAACAUGGGAGAUUCCCACAUGUCAAAGACAACAUUUCAAUUACUAGUGUGGCUACUUUAUAAUGAUACAUAUGCUGAACAUUGUAUCAGCUGGCAUUACCGACUCAUGGAAUAUGAUUUUUGGAGACGAAACUCCGUUUACUGAUGAUGAAAUGACAAAAGUU